rnacentral:rRNA from 1 species
GGUGCCUUAGUACGGCGAGUGAAGCGGCAAAAGCUCAAAUUUGAAAUCUGGUACCUUCGGUGCCCGAGUUGUAAUUUGGAGAGGGCAACUUUGGGGCCGUUCCUUGUCUAUGUUCCUUGGAACAGGACGUCAUAGAGGGUGAGAAUCCCGUGUGGCGAGGAGUGCGGUUCUUUGUAAAGUGCCUUCGAAGAGUCGAGUUGUUUGGGAAUGCAGCUCUAAGUGGGUGGUAAAUUCCAUCUAAAGCUAAAUAUUGGCGAGAGACCGAUAGCGAACAAGUACAGUGAUGGAAAGAUGAAAAGAACUUUGAAAAGAGAGUGAAAAAGUACGUGAAAUUGUUGAAAGGGAAGGGCAUUUGAUCAGACAUGGUGUUUUGUGCCCUCUGCUCCUUGUGGGUAGGGGAAUCUCGCAUUUCACUGGGCCAGCAUCAGUUUUGGUGGCAGGAUAAAUCCAUAGGAAUGUAGCUUGCCUCGGUAAGUAUUAUAGCCUGUGGGAAUACUGCCAGCUGGGACUGAGGACUGCGACGUAAGUCAAGGAUGCUGGCAUAAUGGUUAUAUGCCGCCCGUCUUGACCCACGGACCAAAA